rnacentral:rRNA from 1 species
CUCAGUUCGGAUUGGAGUCCGCAACCCGACUCCAUGAAGCUGGAUUCGCUAGUAAUCGCGCAUCAGCCACGGCGCGGUGAAUACGUUCCCGGGCCUUGUACACACCGCCCGUCAAGCCAUGGAAGCCGGGAGUGCCUGAAGUGCGUGACCGCAAGGAGCGUCCUAAGGCAAUACCGGUGACUGGGGCUAAGUCGUAACAAGGUACC